CUUUAUUAAAGAGUGACGGGCGAUUUGUGCAUAUAUAAUUUAUCUAUUCAAAAAUAAUUUUUAUUUUUUUGUUUACUUUUAAGUCCUCUUUUCUCCCCAUUUCUCAAAAAUUCCAUUUUAUUUGUUUUUUUGUAUCCCAUAAGUCUUUAAGCUAUAUUCUUUGUCUUGAUUUGUAUUUUUACUAUUUUAGUCUUCCAAAGAAAUUUUUAGAUCUCCAUUUUAUACAAUGAUAUAAAAAAUAAUAAACUUAACUCCCUUAAUCGUGGGCUAUCUAUUAUGCAACAGGAUCCCCUAUUUUUCUUACAUACCGCCAUAUUUUUUAAAUUUCGUUUAUUUAACUACUAAUUUUAAUUUUUUUAAAA
rnacentral:rRNA from 1 species